rnacentral:rRNA from 1 species
UUUGGUUAAGUUAGAAAGGGCGCACGGUGGAUGCCUUGACACUAGGAGUCGAUGAAGGACGGGACUAACGCCGAUAUGCUUCGGGGAGCUGUAAGUAAGCUUUGAUCCGAAGAUUUCCGAAUGGGGAAACCCACCAUACGUAAUGGUAUGGUAUCCUUAUCUGAAUACAUAGGGUAAGGAAGACAGACCCAGGGAACUGAAACAUCUAAGUACCUGGAGGAAGAGAAAGCAAAUGCGAUUUCCUGAGUAGCGGCGAGCGAAACGGAACAUAGCCCAAACCAAGAGGCUUGCCUCUUGGGGUUGUAGGACAUUCUAUACGGAGUUACAAAGGAACGAGGUAGACGAAGCGACCUGGAAAGGUCCGUCGUAGAGGGUAACAACCCCGUAGUCGAAACUUCGUUCUCUCUUGAAUGUAUCCUGAGUACGGCGGAACACGUGAAAUUCCGUCGGAAUCUGGGAGGACCAUCUCCCAAGGCUAAAUACUCCCUAGUGAUCGAUAGUGAACCAGUACCGUGAGGGAAAGGUGAAAAGCACCCCGGAAGGGGAGUGAAAGAGAUCCUGAAACCGUGUGCCUACAAAUAGUCAGAGCCCGUUAAUGGGUGAUGGCGUGCCUUUUGUAGAAUGAACCGGCGAGUUACGAUCCCGUGCGAGGUUAAGCUGAAGAGGCGGAGCCGCAGCGAAAGCGAGUCUGAAUAGGGCGUUUAGUACGUGGUCGUAGACCCGAAACCAGGUGAUCUACCCAUGUCCAGGGUGAAGUUCAGGUAACACUGAAUGGAGGCCCGAACCCACGCACGUUGAAAAGUGCGGGGAUGAGGUGUGGGUAGCGGAGAAAUUCCAAUCGAACCUGGAGAUAGCUGGUUCUCCCGAAAUAGCUUUAGGGCUAGCCUUAAGUGUAAGAGUCUUGGAGGUAGAGCACUGAUUGGACUAGGGGUCCUCAUCGGAUUACCGAAUUCAGUCAAACUCCGAAUGCCAAUGACUUAUCCUUAGGAGUCAGACUGCGAGUGAUAAGAUCCGUAGUCAAAAGGGAAACAGCCCAGACCGCCAGCUAAGGUCCCAAAGUGUGUAUUAAGUGGAAAAGGAUGUGGAGUUGCUUAGACAACUAGGAUGUUGGCUUAGAAGCAGCCACCAUUUAAAGAGUGCGUAAUAGCUCACUAGUCGAGUGACUCUGCGCCGAAAAUGUACCGGGGCUAAAUACACCACCGAAGCUGCGGAUUGAUACCAAUGGUAUCAGUGGUAGGGGAGCGUUCUAAGGACAGUGAAGUCAGACCGUAAGGACUGGUGGAGUGCUUAGAAGUGAGAAUGCCGGUAUGAGUAGCGAAAGACGGGUGAGAAUCCCGUCCACCGAAUGCCUAAGGUUUCCUGAGGAAGGCUCGUCCGCUCAGGGUUAGUCAGGACCUAAGCCGAGGCCGACAGGCGUAGGCGAUGGACAACAGGUUGAUAUUCCUGUACCACCUCUUUAUCGUUUGAGCAAUGGAGGGACGCAGAAGGAUAGAAGAAGCGUGCGAUUGGUUGUGCACGUCCAAGCAGUUAGGCUGAUAAGUAGGCAAAUCCGCUUAUCGUGAAGGCUGAGCUGUGAUGGGGAAGCUCCUUAUGGAGCGAAGUCUUUGAUUCCCCGCUGCCAAGAAAAGCUUCUAGCGAGAUAAAAGGUGCCUGUACCGCAAACCGACACAGGUAGGCGAGGAGAGAAUCCUAAGGUGUGCGAGAGAACUCUGGUUAAGGAACUCGGCAAAAUGACCCCGUAACUUCGGGAGAAGGGGUGCUUUCUUAACGGAAAGCCGCAGUGAAUAGGCCCAAGCGACUGUUUAGCAAAAACACAGCUCUCUGCGAAGCCGUAAGGCGAAGUAUAGGGGGUGACACCUGCCCGGUGCUGGAAGGUUAAGGAGAGGGGUUAGCGUAAGCGAAGCUCUGAACUGAAGCCCCAGUAAACGGCGGCCGUAACUAUAACGGUCCUAAGGUAGCGAAAUUCCUUGUCGGGUAAGUUCCGACCCGCACGAAAGGUGUAACGAUUUGGGCACUGUCUCAACCAGAGACUCGGUGAAAUUAUAGUACCUGUGAAGAUGCAGGUUACCCGCGACAGGACGGAAAGACCCCGUGGAGCUUUACUGUAGCCUGAUAUUGAAUUUUGGUACAUUUUGUACAGGAUAGGCGGGAGCCUUUGAAACCGGAGCGCUAGCUUCGGUGGAGGCGCUGGUGGGAUACCGCCCUGAAUGUAUUGAAAUUCUAACCUACGGGUCUUAUCGACCCGGGAGACAGUGUCAGGUGGGCAGUUUGACUGGGGCGGUCGCCUCCUAAAGUGUAACGGAGGCGCCCAAAGGUUCCCUCAGAAUGGUUGGAAAUCAUUCGUAGAGUGCAAAGGCAUAAGGGAGCUUGACUGCGAGACCUACAAGUCGAGCAGGGACGAAAGUCGGGCUUAGUGAUCCGGUGGUUCCGCAUGGAAGGGCCAUCGCUCAACGGAUAAAAGCUACCCCGGGGAUAACAGGCUUAUCUCCCCAAGAGUCCACAUCGACGGGGAGGUUUGGCACCUCGAUGUCGGCUCAUCGCAUCCUGGGGCUGUAGUCGGUCCCAAGGGUUGGGCUGUUCGCCCAUUAAAGCGGUACGCGAGCUGGGUUCAGAACGUCGUGAGACAGUUCGGUCCCUAUCCGUCGUGGGCGUAGGAAAUUUGAGAGGAGCUGUCCUUAGUACGAGAGGACCGGGAUGGACGCACCGCUGGUGUACCAGUUGUUCUGCCAAGGGCAUAGCUGGGUAGCUAUGUGCGGAAGGGAUAAGUGCUGAAAGCAUCUAAGCAUGAAGCCCCCUCAAGAUGAGAUUUCCCAUAGCGUAAGCUAGUAAGAUCCCUGAAAGAUGAUCAGGUUGAUAGGUUCGAGGUGGAAGCAUGGUGACAUGUGGAGCUGACGAAUACUAAUAGAUCGAGGACUUAACCAUAUAAUAUGUA